AACUGAUACUACCUGCGGGAACCUGCGGAGGGAUCAUUACAGAGUAACUCGAUCUUCGGAUCGGCUACCCGUCCUCAUGUCAUCCGUUUUGACGGGGUGGCUCGCGCCUCCCCCGAUCCACAAUUUCCCAGGAGGUGUUGCGUCUUCUCGCCUCGUGCAGAGACGUGACCGCCUGGGGUCUUUUUUAAGCAACGCUUGUGAAAAUGCUGAACGUCUGAACGACAGUCUCGAAUAGGGACG
rnacentral:misc_RNA from 1 species